rnacentral:lncRNA from 1 species
GUUUUUGCACAAGGGUGACCUGAGGGUGGCAGCAGCUGCUCACAGUAGCGUUGGAUCAUGCAGUGCACGGUCACAAGGAUUUAGGGAGACUGCAGAGCCUGUGGUGAGAGAGCAGGAAGCAAUGGAUUGCAGGAGGCUGGAGUGGUGUUGAAUAUUUGUGUUGCUGGAAGUAUAUGUGAGAGGAGAUGUAGAAAAUGUGGCAUCGUGGUUACUGGCAAGAUGUGCAGUGCCGAGGAGGAAAAUCUGAUGAGGAAUCCCCAGCAUCGUAAAUGGAUAAUGUGGUGUUGACUGGAGUGAGAAGCAGCAGCAUUUCCCAGCAAAGAGCACGCAUGCUGAGCUUCUGUGGCUGGUAAAACACAGCAGAUGACUUCUGAUACGUGCCAGUGUGUGAGGAGAAGGAAGCAUUUCCUGAGAGCAGAUAUGUGAAGAUAUUCAGGCUCCCUUUAGGUACUAGAAGGCUGCAAUGAGGACACCCCACAGCCUUCUCUUCUCCAUGCUGAACAAGCCCAGCUCCCUCAGCCUGUCUUUGUAGUGGAGGUGCUCCAGCCCUCUGAUCAUCUCUGUGACCCUUCUCUGGAGGUUUUCUGUAAACAAUAAAGAAAAAGCAGAAGACAAGAAAAAAGGAGGCUGUAGGAGGCCAC